CAGCACCUCAAGUGGUCAGGAUGAUUAUUGGGCCCAAAGCAUCCGUAGCCGGAUCUGUAAGUUUUCGGUUAAAUCUGUACGCUUAACGUACAGGCUGCCGGGAAUACUGCAGAUCUAGGGAGUGGGAGAGGUAGACGGUACUCGGUAGGAAGGGGUAAAAUCCUUUGAUCUAUUGAUGACCACCUGUGGCGAAGGCGGUCUACCAGAACACGUCCGACGGUGAGGGAUGAAAGCUGGGGGAGCAAACCGGAUUAGAUACCCGAGUAGUCC
rnacentral:rRNA from 1 species